GAGCCAAGAAUACAAGGUCCGAGUAGCUUUCCAGAUAGUAGUUGGGAAACCAAGACAUUAGAGGGCAUCGAUUGCUCCCUAAAUCAUCAUGAGAGCUUUCAGGUGGUCAACAAGGUCGGUGGAGCUGUCAUAAGACUCCAUUUGUGGUAUUUUAAAUCGAGUGGGGAUUGACUCAUCCAAGAUGCAUCAGAAGAAGAGUGGAGUAGCAUGGAUGUCCAAGUCAUCG
rnacentral:lncRNA from 1 species